GGCAAGCCUAUGAGGUCCUAGCAACAAGCAAAGGCUGAAGUUGCUCCAGACACCUAUGGAUUUGCCGUCGGUAAAUCAGGGUAACUCGGAUCUCUUCCAUUGCUAACACAGACAGUUGUGAGCUAUACGCAGAAGGCCUCUAGAUGAUGAGGCAGCAUAAACUGGAAGGAACCUGGGUUUCUUCUCCUGCCUCUAAAAUUACGCUCCACAAGAGAAACUCAUCCACUCCUCCGUCUUCUCAUCCCCAAGGCCUAAGACAGCUC
rnacentral:lncRNA from 1 species